rnacentral:rRNA from 1 species
AGAGUUUGAUCCUGGCUCAGAUUGAACGCUGGCGGCAUGCCUUACACAUGCAAGUCGAACGGCAGCAUGAUCUAGCUUGCUAGAUUGAUGGCGAGUGGCGAACGGGUGAGUAAUACAUCGGAACGUGCCCUGUAGUGGGGGAUAACUAGUCGAAAGAUUAGCUAAUACCGCAUACGACCUGAGGGUGAAAGUGGGGGACCGCAAGGCCUCAUGCUAUAGGAGCGGCCGAUGUCUGAUUAGCUAGUUGGUGGGGUAAAGGCCCACCAAGGCGACGAUCAGUAGCUGGUCUGAGAGGACGAUCAGCCACACUGGGACUGAGACACGGCCCAGACUCCUACGGGAGGCAGCAGUGGGGAAUUUUGGACAAUGGGGGCAACCCUGAUCCAGCAAUGCCGCGUGUGUGAAGAAGGCCUUCGGGUUGUAAAGCACUUUUGUCCGGAAAGAAAUCGCACUUACUAAUAUUAGGUGUGGAUGACGGUACCGGAAGAAUAAGGACCGGCUAACUACGUGCCAGCAGCCGCGGUAAUACGUAGGGUCCAAGCGUUAAUCGGAAUUACUGGGCGUAAAGCGUGCGCAGGCGGUUGUGCAAGACCGAUGUGAAAUCCCCGGGCUUAACCUGGGAAUUGCAUUGGUGACUGCACGGCUAGAGUGUGUCAGAGGGGGGUAGAAUUCCACGUGUAGCAGUGAAAUGCGUAGAGAUGUGGAGGAAUACCGAUGGCGAAGGCAGCCCCCUGGGAUAACACUGACGCUCAUGCACGAAAGCGUGGGGAGCAAACAGGAUUAGAUACCCUGGUAGUCCACGCCCUAAAC